UACGUAGGGUGCAGGCGUUACUCGGAAUUACUGGGCGUAAAGCGUGCGUAGGCGGCCAACUAAGUCAUACGUGAAAUCCCUCAGCUUAACUGGGGAACUGCGUGUGAUACUGGAUGGCUUGGAUUUGGGAGAGGGAUGCGGAAUUCCAGGUGUAGCGGUGAAAUGCGUAGAUAUCUGGAGGAACACCGGUGGCGAAGGCGGCAUCCUGGACCAAUAUUGACGCUGAGGAGCGAAAGCCAGGGGAGCAAACGGG
rnacentral:rRNA from 1 species